rnacentral:lncRNA from 1 species
UUGGUGCUGCGGUAACGAGGUCACAAAGGACAGUUGCUGCCCUGGUAGAGUCAUUGGUAGGGGCAGUCCCCACCGACUCCCACUUCUGACACAGUGAAUUAGAAUUCUACCCGAGUUAAGCACCAGGAAGCUGCCGCAUGGGUGUUUCUCAGAUUUGUAUCAGGGUCCUGGCCUAGUCUGGGAGUUCUCCUUGAGAAAAUGAGCUUUCAGCCGGUCUCCUGGACAGAGCCUCUGGCACUGAGCGGGCUGCAGGGGACAAAGCCUUCCUUUUUCCAGAGCCUCAGACUGCUUCUGAAGUGGAGAGCAUUGAAUAAACCCAGGAUUCCUUCCUGGGAACUGGGUACUUGUCUUCGAAGAGUAGCGUGUCUUUGCAGAAGCCCGUGGCACUAG